AUUGAACGCUGGCGGCAGGCCUAACACAUGCAAGUCGAGCGGCUGAAGGGAGCUUGCUCCUGGAUUCAGCGGCGGACGGGUGAGUAAUGCCUAGGAAUCUGCCUGGUAGUGGGGGAUAACGUCCGGAAACGGGCGCUAAUACGCCAUACGUCCUGAGGGCGUAAGUGGGAGAUCUUCGGACCUCCCGCUAUCGGAUGAGCCUAGGUCGGAUUAGCUAGUUGGUGGGGUAAAGGCCUACCAAGGCGACGAUCCGUAACUGGUCUGAGAGGAUGAUCAGUCACACUGGAACUGAGACACGGUCCAGACUCCUACGGGAGGCAGCAGUGGGGAAUAUUGGGCAAUGGGCGCAAGCCUGAUCCAGCCAUGCCGCGUGUGUGAAGAAGGUCUUCGGGUUGUAAAGCCCUUUUGGUGGGGAAGAAGAGCAGUAGGUUAAUACCUUGCUGUUUUGACGUUACCAACAGAAUAAGCACCGGCUAACUUCGUG
rnacentral:rRNA from 1 species